GGGCCCGUGGUCUAGCUCGGUUAUGAUGUCGCCUUUACGAGGCGAAGGUCGCCGGUUCAAAUCCGGCCGGGCCCA
rnacentral:tRNA from 1 species